AUGCAAGUGGUAGGAAGCCGAAAGGUGACCGACCUUCGGGAGCUGCACAGGUGCUGCAUGGCUGUCGUCAGCUCGUGUCGUGAGAUGUUCGGUUAAGUCCGCUAACGAGCGCAACCCUCGCUGUGUGUUAUAUGUGUCACACGGGACUGCCGGUCUUAAGCCGGAGGAAGGUGGGAUGAUGUCAAGUCAGCAUGGCCUUUAUAUCCUGGGCUACACACACGCUACAAUGGCCAACACAAUAGGUUGCUAAGCCGCGAGGUGGCGCCAAUCCAUAAAGUUGGUCUCAGUUCAGAUUGUAGGCUGCAACCCGCCUGCAUGAAGAUGGAGUUGCUAGUAACCGCAGGUCAGCUAUACUGCGGUGAAUACGUUCCCGGGGCUUGU
rnacentral:rRNA from 1 species